rnacentral:rRNA from 1 species
AGCGGCGUACGGGUGCGGAACACGUGUGCACUGCCUUUAUCUGGGGGAUAGCCUUUCGAAAGGAAGAUUAAUACCCCAUAAUAUGUUGAAUGGCAUCAUUCGACAUUGAAAACUCCGGUGGAUAGAGAUGGGCACGCGCAAGAUUAGAUAGUUGGUGAGGUAACGGCUCACCAAGUCUACGAUCUUUAGGGGGCCUGAGAGGGUGAUCCCCCACACUGGUACUGAGACACGGACCAGACUCCUACGGGAGGCAGCAGUGAGGAAUAUUGGACAAUGGGUGAGAGCCUGAUCCAGCCAUCCCGCGUGAAGGACGACUGCCUAUGGGUUGUAAACUUCUUUUGUAUAGGGAUAAACUACCUCGUGAGGGUAGCUGAAGGUACUAUACGAAUAAGCACCGGUAACUCCCGUGGCCAAGCAGCCGCGGUAAUACGGAGGGUGCAAGCGUUAUCCGGAUUAUGGGGUUUAAAGGGGUCCGGUAAGCGGAUCUGGUAAGUUCAAGGGGUGAAAUUCUUCCACAGUUUUAAAUUGGUGGAAAACUUGGCAUUGAUACUUGGAGGGUCCUUUGGAGUUGUNGGAGAAAGUAAGUUGGGAAUUAAGUAG